CGCGGUAACCCCGGCGCCUACCGCCCCUGUUCCCACUCCUCUUCCUAGCCCGCCACAUCGUAGCCGGCGGCGGCCGGAGAUGGCGCGCCUCCUCGCUGUCCGAGGCAUCUCCUCUUCGCCGCACCUCGCGUGGAGGGUGAAGCAAACAGAAAAUCAGAUUGUUCAGAUGUUCCGGCCCCUGGUUCCUCGGAGCGAGGAGGCAGUAGCACCCAUUGAACGAAGGUACACACGUUCUGUAAGAGUCAUGGAUGAGAGGUUUAUUAGGAUCCUGAAGAUAUUCAAGUGGGGCCCUGAUGCUGAAAAGGCGCUAGAGGUACUCAUGCUGAAAGUUGAUCACUGGUUGGUACGAGAGGUUAUGAAAACUGAUGUUGGGGUCAAUGUGAAGAUGCAAUUUUUUAGAUGGGCAGCUAAGAAGAGGAAUUACGAACAUGAUACAUCCACUUACAUGGCAUUGAUACGUUGUUUAGAGGUAGUAGAGCAGUACGGUGAAAUGUGGAAAAUGAUCCAAGAGAUGGUACGGAAUCCGGUAUGUGUUGUCACCCCGAUGGAGCUAUCGGACAUUAUCCGGAUGCUGGGAAAUGCCAAGAUGAUUAGUAAAGCUGUUGCAAUCUUCUACCAAAUCAAAGUACGGAAGUGUCAACCAACUGCUCAGGCAUAUAACAGCAUGAUAAUCAUGUUAAUGCAUGAGGGGCAAUAUGAGAAAGUGCAUGAACUUUACAAUGAGAUGAGCAAUGAGGGGCAUUGCUUCCCAGACACCGUGACUUACAGUGCACUCAUUUCAGCUUUCUGCAAACUUGGUCGUCAGGAUUCAGCAAUUCGGUUACUAAAUGAGAUGAAGGACAACGGAAUGCAGCCAACUGCUAAGAUAUAUACCAUGUUAAUCGCUUUGUUCUUCAAGUUGAACAAUGUUCAUGGAGCACUGGGUUUGUUUGAAGAAAUGAGGCAUCAGUACUGCCGACCAGAUGUGUUUACGUACACUGAGUUAAUCAGGGGCCUUGGUAAAGCUGGGAGAUUUGAUGAAGCGUAUAACUUCUUCCAUGAAAUGCGACGAGAAGGCUGCCGGCCAGACACAGUUGUUAUAAAUAAUAUGAUAAAUUUCUUGGGCAAGGCUGGCCGUUUGGAUGAUGCUGUGAAGUUGUUUGAGGAGAUGGGAACAUUGCAGUGUAUUCCUAGCGUGGUGACAUAUAAUACUAUAAUAAAAGCACUUUUUGAAUCUAAAUCUCGCAUUUCAGAGAUUUCAUCAUGGUUUGAGAGAAUGAAGGGAAGUGGAAUCUCCCCUAGCCCAUUCACCUACUCUAUUUUGAUUGAUGGGUUCUGCAAGACCAACAGGACAGAGAAGGCCAUGAUGCUACUGGAGGAGAUGGACGAAAAGGGCUUUCCUCCAUGCCCAGCGGCAUAUUGCAGCCUGAUUGAUGCUCUUGGAAAAGCUAAACGGUAUGAUAUUGCACAUGAGCUAUUUCAGGAACUAAAAGAAAAUUGCGGCUCCUCCAGUGCUCGAGUGUACGCAGUGAUGAUAAAACACUUAGGGAAGGCUGGGCGGCUUGAUGAUGCUGUAAAUCUUUUUGAUGAGAUGAACAAACUUGGUUGCACUCCAAAUGUUUAUGCUUACAAUGCUCUCAUGUCUGGGUUAGCAAGAGCAGGUAUGCUUGAUGAAGCUCUUACUACAAUGAGAAGAAUGCAAGAGCAUGGGUGUAUUCCUGAUAUAAAUUCAUACAAUAUUAUCCUGAAUGGACUGGCAAAAACGGGAGGUCCUCAUCGUGCAAUGGAGAUGCUUUCUAACAUGAAGCAGUCUGCAAUAAAACCAGAUGCUGUGUCAUAUAAUACUGUUCUUGGUGCCAUGAGUCAUGCAGGCUUGUUUGAGGAGGCAGCUAAAUUGAUGAAAGAGAUGAAUGUGUUGGGAUUUGAGUAUGAUCUUAUUACAUAUUCAUCUAUACUUGAGGCGAUUGGAAAGGUUGAUCACGAAUAAACUGAAGGGCUCACAUAAGAAAAAGGAUACAUGGAUUUUGUUAGUGUUCUAAAAGAUCUUGAUCCAAGGCUUCCAAGCUUUAAAAUGUUAUAGAUUCUUCCAAGUUUUUGUCCAGAAUUGUGUCUGGUCGACAACAGCUAUGCCUCCUUUUGCGCCGCUCAAGUGAAUCGUUGUACUGUGUAAUUAGUGUACCACAACAGUGAGUCAAACUUAGGUGUGUAUUACACCAUUUUAUUAACAGGUCGAAAAAAGACUUUGCUGCUAAGGUGCAAAGGUAUGAGAGUUUGUUACUGAAAGGUUGAUACCAUUUAGGUGCAACUCUAUGUUAGAGUUGUUCAGCUACCACCAGUGGAACAUGGUGGAUUUGGACUUUGAGAAACUGGCAACCUUUCAAAGUCGCACUGCUAGCGGAUGUGCUGAAUAUUUCCUGUUACAUUCUACAGGAGCUUACCUGCAGACUGCCAUUGCCUUCCAAAACCAGUGAAGAAUCUACAAAAUUCAGUAACCUCAUCCAGGCUUCUUUUCUGAAACUGAAGUCCAGAAUCCAGUUUUGUGGUGGCCAUAUGGUGCAUAUAUGUGUUUGUAGAAGUUGUUGAUCUAGUGUAAAGCCUCUAGCUACUACUGUCCUUAACAACAGUUCUUCAUGGACACCUACUUCUCAUUGUUGAAAACUGUUGAGUACUUGUGUGGGGAUACCUUUAUGCACCUGAGCACAGCUCGUUGCAUAUGUAUGAGCUUACUGUUCUUAGAAAGUGAAAUCCAUCACAUGCCAGGUUUCUGCAUUUUUUUUCAA